rnacentral:rRNA from 1 species
GACGAACGCUGGCGGCGUGCUUAACACAUGCAAGUCGAGCGGUAAGGCCCUUUCGGGGUACACGAGCGGCGAACGGGUGAGUAACACGUGGGUGACCUGCCCUUAGCUCUGGGAUAAGCCUGGGAAACUGGGUCUAAUACCGGAUAUGACUCCAUGACGCAUGUUGUGGGGUGGAAAGCCUUGUGCGGCUAGGGAUGGGCCCGCGGCCUACCAGCUUGUUGGUGGGGUGAUGGCCACCAAGGCGACGACGGGUAGCCGGCCUGAGAGGGCGACCGGCCGACACUGGGACUGAGACACGGCCCAGACUCCUACGGGAGGCAGGCAGUGGGGAAUCUUGCGCAAUGGGCGAAAGCCUGACGCAGCGACGCCGCGUGGGGA